AAGAACAUCCAGCAGCAGACACCAGCCAUGAGCCCACAAGUCCAGAGUGGGCAGAAGCAGAGCCAGGAGCAAGUAGUGAUGAGGGGAUUGGGGAUUGCUCCUGUCAGUAUGGAAGGAAAAGGUGAGCUGUUGGAACAGAUUGUGUGAACAAGCAAGCAUUAGUUCCUGUAAACCACUUUCUAGACCCAAAACGAUAGUACUGACCUAUUUAAUUUUUAUUAUUAAAAGUGAGACAGUAAAUACACAAAGCCCACAAUCGAAAGGCAAUAGCAUAAAGUAAUAUCAAA